rnacentral:lncRNA from 1 species
GCAUGGUGGAGGCACUGGUGGUGUCAUGGCGGUGGUCUGGUGCGAAGUGUCGCAGCCCUCAGGGCCUGGGGCUGGAGGUUUCCCCGUCACAGGCCUUGGAGCGUGUCUCAGUGUUUAUAAUCCGCGUGUGCGACCGUGUUGGUGAGAACAAAGAAAAUGGGAAGAAAAAGCCAUGUGCGCUGAAGCUUGCUCGGUGUCGUCCCGGCUGAUCGGCUCCUGGAGGAGAGUAGUGUCUGAGCUGCAUGGAGGAAAUAAACGUUUUUGGCCUGGUCCUGAGGAGAAUGCAAUGCUCACACCAGAACAGCUGCUGCAGGAGCACCAUCUCAGAGGGCAUCACAGAGACCAUCACAGCUACAAGCAUCUGAAAGAUACGAGCAGAGACAUGUAG